rnacentral:rRNA from 1 species
AUUGAACGCUGGCGGCAUGCCUUACACAUGCAAGUCGAACGGCAGCAUGAUCUCGCUUGCUAGAUUGAUGGCGAGUGGCGCACGGGUGAGUAAUACAUCGGAACGUGCCCUGUAGUGGGGGAUAACUAGUCGAAAGAUUAGCUAAUACCGCAUACGACCUGAGGGUGAAAGUGGGGGACCGCAAGGCCCCAUGCUAUAGGAGCGGCCGAUGUCUGAUUAGCUAGUUGGUGAGGUCAAGGCUCACCAAGGCGACGAUCAGUAGCUGGUCUGAGAGGACGAUCAGCCACACUGGGACUGAGACAGGGCCCAGACUCCUACGGGAGGCCGCAGUGGGGAAUUUUGGACAAUGGGCGAAAGCCUGAUCCAGCAAUGCCGCGUGUGUGAAGAAGGCCUUCGGGUUGUAAAGCACUUUUGUCCGGAAAGAAAUGGCUCUGGUUAAUACCUGGGGUCGAUGACGGUACCGGAAGAAUAAGGACCGGCUAACUACGUG